rnacentral:lncRNA from 1 species
UUCAAGUUAUCAAGGCUUAAAGUAGGCGAAAAUUUGAUCCCCGCUCCCUGUAUAUGAAAAGUUCAUAUAUAUACAUGUAGGUUUUACAUUAAGGAUCCUUUUAAAUAUUUCUACAUGGCUACAAAAACUCAAUUAUUUAAUGAGAUUAUGAUCAUGGGAUAUGAUUAAUUAUUCAAAUAUUUAUUAGAAACGUUCGUUUACCAAGAAGAAUCUCCCUAUUCGUCUCUAAGUCUCAGUUUUUCUAUUUCUUUCAAAAGAGUUCCAAGGUGGGUUUCAAGAGACUCCCAUCUCCUUCACUUAGAUACUAAUGUAAAUGAAGUGCAAACCUCAGAAUAGGCUUCCUUAGUGACUAAGAAACGAUAAAUGAAACAAUUGAAGAGCUUCUAUCGUAUUGAAUGAAGAUUGGAUUGGAGGAAUUUCUCUUGGGAAUACUAACAUCUAGCUCCUAAAUAAAGGCAACGUGUAUAAUUUAGAAGGAUGAAGUGCAUCAGGAAAGGGAUGAUGAGGAUUCACACCGUUCUUCAAACAGAUGGUUGGUAAAAUCAAAUCAAAGGUAGGCUUAAGUAUUAAUCAAGGAUCUUGUAUUAUUUCAAAAAGUGAAAUAAGGUUCAACGCGUGAGAUCAAAGAAACGCCGAUUUACAUACCAUGCUCUCUCCCGAUUCAAGUUAUGACAAUAGAACCAUUGCCAGCAACAUCGAAUUAUGAAUUCGGGCGGUUCAAUGCUUGAGGGAACAGCUGAGGGAGAUAAAAAUAAAAUUUCCAGAGGCAGUUAUGGUCUUUACUGUGGUUUAAAGUGAAGGCUACAUCAUCCUAACUCACAUCUUCGAAGACGGCUUGAGAGUCAACAUCAAUGUGAACCUGGACGUGCUUAAGAGUGUGGUGAUCCCAUGGCGUAGUCAUAAAAAUUCAGUAAUCUUAAGUAACAUAUUUUCCGAUAUUAUCUUUGUUCGCUCGAAUUGAGUCUCCACUCGAACAAAAUAUCCAAAUGGACGAAAGCCCAUAAACCUUGGAACCUUGACCGAAACAUGAUUUAUGUAUGAAGUUUCAUUUUAAUUACUCCGUUACAGUAGAUUCUUUUUGUCAGGGGCAUCAUUAUAGAAUCCAAUUUUGAAUUAAACUUUAAUUCAGAUUUAAACAAUAUAAUUGUUGUUGUAUAAGUUUAAUAUCAGAAUGCAGAUAAAUAACUGUUCACUAAAUUACAUGCUGACAAUUUAAUACUCAUUUAAUCUUCUUUUUUAUUAUAUAUAUAUUUCAGUCUAUUUUUACAACAGGAGCGACUAUUUCUUUGAGGACCUUUUGACAAAACUUCUGUUUUUAUAAACAAUCAAGUAUAAUCUUAUGAUUUUUUUCUAGUAAAUCCAAAUAUUUCAGCAUGAUGUCCUCUCCGGCAAUUAUUUAACCUUCUCUCGGUGCCCCCAUCUGAACUCACUGGACACUUUGGUUGGUGAUAUAUCGAGAACAUCACAAACAUUAUGUCCCAGAACAACCAAGCCAGACUGAGUGACCCAUAUACCGAGUAUUGGGCGAGCUUCAAACUGCACUUAUGGAAAAAGCAUACUACCGGUUAUGACAUCGGUAUCGAAGCGGCGAUUGAGGCUGAAUGCGGAAAAAUUGAAUAGAUGUCAGCUCUACUACAUAUUUAAGUUGUAUUAAUCGACUUUUGGAAUUAAAUUUAAAAAAUAGAGCUGUUGUGUUGUUUUCUUUAAGGCGACCAUUUAAUCCAUCCACAGUGGCCAUAUAUUAGAAAUGAGUUGUAACUCUAUUUUCCCCCAAUAUUUAGUGUAGAAUAGGUGUAAAAAAAUAUCGAUUUGAACAUAGUAUAUUCAUAAGGUAUUAUUACUUAAGUAUCAGCCCAUUUUAGGUUAGUAAAUAUUGUAGCACUUGUAAUUUUUUAUUUCAAAUACAUAUAAAAACAGAUAACUUUUUUUUUCUGUUGAAGUCAGGAGACUCAUUAAAUAUUUGAAAAAUAAAAAUUGAAUCCCAGACAAAGUCAUGAAAAUCAUCACUAUUUAUAUUUUGCUACUGUCAUUCAUUUCCGCUAAUGGAAAAGGUUUGUUCAUUUAGAUUUCAUUUACUUUUAUCACAAAUAUAUCUAUGAACAUUAUUGGAAUGUACUACUUCGUCUGGAGGUUGCUUAUUUCCGUUCACAUACUAUGAGACAAAUAAAAUGUACACUAUUGUUGACACCCAUAUCCUUCCUAGGCCUUGGUUCUAUUUAAAAAAUGGUGGGUGGGACUAUUGAUCAGGUGAUUGAUUGUUUUGGUAAGUGUCAUAAAUUAAUUGCAUAAGUAUGAAAGAAGAUUAAAUAUUUUUUCUCAACACUGUGGAGUAUCCAACGAUAUAGGAAACUCAUAUAAACAGCAAAGGGAGGUCUCAGAGGGACGUUUUGAUAAUGCCGUAUUCCCCUGGCAUACACGUAUAUAAGAUAUAACAAAAAGUAUUGAGUAAUGGAGUUAUCUUAAGCAAUAAUCGUGUAUUUACUACAGCUAAUUAUAAAGGAUAUUAUCACCAAUAUGGAAUUAAAGAUGCUGAAGCAGGUAAAAACAAUUAUGCCGAGGGUUUUCAAGAAGGAAGGAUUAAAAGUUUUGUUGUGCAUGAGGGUUACAGGCAUAGAACAGGUGAAAACAAAAUUGCCAUAAUUGGCCUACAUAACAGAUUAGUAUGGAAUGAUAGAGUCCCACCUAUUUGCUUUUCCAAUUAAGGACAAACAAUCAGCAACUUGUAAGUGUACAAAUAGGUGAAAAUGAAGGAGGACCAUUGACCGUAUGUCAAGAUUCAAAAAGAUGUG